rnacentral:rRNA from 1 species
CAGCCGCCGCGGGAAUACGUAGGGCGCAAGCGUUGUCCGGAAUUAUUGGGCGUAAAGAGCUCGUAGGCGGUCUGUCGCGUCUGGUGUGAAAUCCCGAGGCUCAACCUCGGGCUUGCAUCGGGUACGGGCAGACUAGAGUGCGGUAGGGGAGACUGGAAUUCCUGGUGUAGCGGUGGAAUGCGCAGAUAUCAGGAGGAACACCGAUGGCGAAGGCAGGUCUCUGGGCCGCAACUGACGCUGAGGAGCGAAAGCAUGGGGAGCGAACAGGAUUAGAUACCCCUGUAGUCCCUGUCUCUUAUAA